AUCCAGUUGACGAGUCCCAGACAAGAAGAAAUGCGCAUCCUAGAU
rnacentral:hammerhead_ribozyme from 1 species